AAAACAAUGGCAAGAGGAAAUUUAGGGUAGUUGCCAAAGUCGAGCCAGGCAAAGACCCAAUCAGAGUUACAGAAAAAUCUCUCUACUCUGUCACACAUACAAGCCCUUUGAAAAGCUCCUGCUUAACCGCAUUGUUCCCUUUGUGACUGAGUUCUUCAUUCCAGUAGAUUCAGG